UAAAAAACACUUGACUCAAACAACAAGCUUGUUGAGGAGCCAUUUCACUCUUGUGUGAGCUGAAAUUCCUUUAGUUGGGGAUUGAAGGUUACGUUCAAUACCGGGAGGCUGUGUGAGGAGCACUAUGCAUUAUCAAGGUACCCAGCCGGGGCCCAGUUCAAGAGGCGGAGGCAGACUUCGCGGUCUUCGAGGUGCAAGGCGUUAUAUCCCAUACUCAGGUCGUCACAUCCGACCCCGUGGUGCGAAAUUAUCUUCAUAUCACAGCAAUGAGGAGUGUAAUCAAUCCUCCUCGGAUGAUUCGACACAGCCCCCAAGUCCCCCACCAUGCGUUGUGCCAAGUCACGCGCCAGAACCUAUUCAAGAACCCCCACCAAAUACAGUGGAACAAUC